rnacentral:rRNA from 1 species
GACGAACGCUGGCGGCGUGCUUAACACAUGCAAGUCGAACGGAAAGGCCCUGCUUUUGUUGGGUGCUCGAGUGGCGAACGGGUGAGUAACACGUGAGUAACCUGCCCUUGACUUUGGGAUAACUUCAGGAAACUGGGGCUAAUACCGGAUAGGAGCUCCUGCUGCAUGGUGGGGGUUGGAAAGUUUCGGCGGUUGGGGAUGGACUCGCAGCUUAUCAGCUUGUUGGUGGGGUAGUGGCUUACCAAGGCUUUGACGGGUAGCCGGCCUGAGAGGGUGACCGGCCACAUUGGGACUGAGAUACGGCCCAGACUCCUACGGGAGGCAGCAGUGGGGAAUAUUGCACAAUGGGCGGAAGCCUGAUGCAGCAACGCCGGGUGCGGGAUGACGGCCUUCGGGUUGUAAACCGCUUUCGCCUGUGACGAAGCGUGAGUGACGGUAAUGGGUAAAGAAGCACCGGCUAACUACGUG